UGAAAAAUGUUAAAUUAACCAUAGACGUUGCCUCUGAAUCUUUACUCUCACUACUCUGUCCCUUGCUUUCAACGGCUUUUUUUUCCUCGCGUCCCCUUGCCCCGAAAUCCGAACCCUAACUUUCUCAGAUUUUCUCGGGAAAAUGAAGACUCACCUAAAGAUUUCUCCAAGUUUAUCCCAAUAAUCAAUCAAGAAAUAGAUUAAAUUGAUAUAACAGUUAAAUAAAUUACAUACGCAAGAAAUAAAUUAAAAAAACCCGAAAGCCGAACAAAAAAAUAUGUCAGAGCUCGAUCUGUCCAAGAAAGUCGCCGAUAGAUAUCUGAAGCGAGAAGUCCUCGGCGAAGGUACCUACGGGGUCGUCUACAAAGCCAUUGAUACCAAGACAGGACAGAAAGUCGCAAUUAAAAAGAUUCGGCUUGGGAAGCAAAAGGAAGGGGUAAAUUUUACGGCACUUAGAGAAAUCAAGCUCCUUAAAGAGCUGAAAGAUCCGAAUAUAAUUGAGUUGAUUGAUGCGUUCCCUCAUAAGGGUAACUUGCACCUAGUGUUUGAGUUCAUGGAGACAGACCUUGAAGCUGUUAUUCGGGACCGGAAUAUAUUUCUUUCGCCGGCUGAUAUAAAAUCUUAUCUUCAGAUGACACUUAAAGGACUUGCUUACUGCCACAAGAAAUGGGUUUUACAUAGGGAUAUGAAACCAAACAACUUGUUAAUAGGAUCUAAUGGACAGCUCAAACUUGCAGAUUUUGGUUUAGCACGAAUAUUUGGGAGCCCAGAUCGCAAGUUCACUCACCAGGUUUUUGCUCGAUGGUAUAGAGCACCUGAGCUGUUGUUUGGUACCAAGCAAUAUGGUGCUGGGGUGGAUGUUUGGGCUGCUGCUUGUAUAUUUGCUGAACUUCUCCUGCGUCGACCUUUUCUGCAGGGUUCAAGUGACAUUGAUCAACUGGGAAAGAUCUUUGCUGCAUUUGGGACACCAACACCAUCCCAGUGGCCUGAUCUGGUAUACCUUCCUGAUUAUGUGGAGUACCAGCAUGUUCCUGCACCCCCUUUACGUUCCUUGUUUCCAAUGGCUAGUGAUGAUGCUUUAGAUCUGCUGUCAAAGAUGUUUACUUAUGAUCCGAAAGCUAGAAUAUCAGUGCAGCAGGCAUUAGAGCACCGGUACUUCUCAUCUGCACCACUGCCUACAGAUCCAGAUAAACUCCCCAGACCUGCACCUAAGCGGGAUUCUAGGGUUUCUGAUUUUAAUUCACAUGAUGGUCCUACUGUCUUAUCACCUCCAAGAAAGACGAGGAGAGUGAUGCCGGACCGUGAGGGCUUGGAAGGAAUUUUUCAUCAUAUUGAUAAGAUUGAGGCAAAUGGUGAAAAUGCAAGCAGGAAUGAACCAGUACCAAUGUCAGUAGACUUUUCUAUCUUUGGAGCAAAACCUCCGAACAGGCCCACAAUUAACAGUGCUGACAGAUCACAUUUAAAGAGGAAGUUAGAUCUGGAAUUCCAGCACCCCGAAUAAGAACAUAUUAUAUCGAGUAUACUCAAAUUUGGUUAUUGUCUAAGGGAUGUAUUAUUGCCGUGACAACAUUUAUGAGGAGGAAGCACCUAUCAAAGAAUUUGAGAGUCGUCAGGUUUUGUAGGAUUGAAGUUUGGGGAUGAAAAAUAAUUGUUUUAGGAGAAAAAGAAGAUGGCAUGAAGAAGUGGCUCCCUUUCCACUUUUGAAGAGAAUUUGUAUUAUAGCCAUGGAAGACCAAUUUUUUUAAGGAAUUUUUUUUUUUUUUUAUAUAUAUAUAAUAUUUUGCUAUA